CGCGGCCUAUCAGCUUGUUGGUGGGGUAAUGGCCUACCAAGGCGACGACGGGUAGCCGGCCUGAGAGGGCGACCGGCCACACUGGGACUGAGGCACGGCCCAGACUCCUACGGGAGGCAGCAGUGGGGAAUAUUGCACAAUGGGCGAAAGCCUGAUGCAGCGACGCCGCGUGAGGGAUGACGGCCUUCGGGUUGUAAACCUCUUUCAGCUCCGAAGAAGCGAAAGUGACGGUAGGAGCAGAAGAAGCACCGGCUAACUACGUGCCAGCAGCCGCGGUAAUACGUAGGGUGCAAGCGUUGUCCGGAAUUAUUGGGCGUAAAGAGCUCGUAGGUGGUUCGUCGCGUCUGCUGUGAAAGUCCGAGGCUUAACCUCGGAUCUGCAGUGGGUACGGGCGGACUAGAGUGCGGUAGAGGAGAUCGGAAUUCCUGGUGUAGCGGUGGAAUGCGCAGAUAUCAGGAGGAACACCGGUGGCGAAGGCGGAUCUCUGGGCCGUAACUGACGCUGAGGAGCGAAAGCAUGGGGAGCGAACAGGCUUAGAUACCCUGGUAGUCCAUGCCGUAAACGUUGGGCGCUAGGUGUGGGGUCCUAUCCACGGAUUCCGUGCCGCAGCUAACGCAUUAAGCGCCCCGCCUGGGGAGUACGG
rnacentral:rRNA from 1 species